CGGUUAAAAAGCUCGUAGUUGGAUUUCUGUCGAGGGCAGCCGGUCCGCACUCGGUGCGCGUAUCUGGUUUGACCUCGGCAUCCUCUCAAAAUACGUUUCUGCGCUUGAUUGCGUGGAGCGGAGUUUGAGACUUUUACUUUGAGGAAAUUAGAGUGUUCACGGCAGGCAAUCGCCUUGAAUAUAUUAGCAUGGAAUAAUAAUAUAGGAUCUUGGUUCUAUUUUGUUGGUUUCUAGAGCUAAGAUAAUGAUUAAUAGGGACAAUUGGGGGCAUUCGUAUUAACACGUCAGAGGUGAAAUUCUUGGAUUGUGUUACGACGAACUACUGCGAAAGCAUUUGCCAAGGAUGUUUUCAUUGAUCAAGAACGAAAGUGCGGGGAUCGAAGACGAUUAGAUACCGUCGUAGUCUGCACCAUAAACUAUGCCAACUAGAGAUUGGUGGUCGUUCUUUUUAUGACUCCAUCAGCACCUUAUGAGAAAUCAAAGUCUUUGGGUUCCGGGGGGAGUAUGGUCGCAAGGCUGAAACUUAAAGGAAUUGACGGAAGGGCACCACCAGGAGUGGAGCCUGCGGCUUAAUUUGACUCAACACGGGAAAAUUUACCAGGUCCAGACAUAGUAAGGAUUGACAGAUUGAUAGCUCUUUCUUGAUUCUAUGGGGUGGGUGGUGCAUGGGCCGU
rnacentral:rRNA from 1 species